rnacentral:rRNA from 1 species
AGAGUUUGAUCCUGGCUCAGGACGAACGCUGGCGGCGUGCCUAACACAUGCAAGUCGAGCGGAGGUAAGCAGAUGGUAACUGAAGCUUACUUUAGCGGCGGACGGGUGAGUAACACGUGGGCAACCUGCCUCGAAGUGGGGGAUAACACCGAGAAAUCGGUGCUAAUACCGCAUAACAUACAGACACCACCUGGUGACUGUAUCAAAGGAGAAAUCCGCUUUGAGAUGGGCCCGCGGCUGAUUAGCUAGUUGGUGAGGUAAUGGCUCACCAAGGCGACGAUCAGUAGCCGACCUGAGAGGGUGACCGGCCACACUGGAACUGAGACACGGUCCAGACUCCUACGGGAGGCAGCAGUGGGGAAUAUUGCGCAAUGGGGGAAACCCUGACGCAGCAACGCCGCGUGGAGGAAGAAGGUCUUCGGAUUGUAAACUCCUGUCUUCUGGGACGAUAAUGACGGUACCAGAGGAGGAAGCCACGGCUAACUACGUGCCAGCAGCCGCGGUAAUACGUAGGUGGCGAGCGUUGUCCGGAAUUACUGGGCGUAAAGGGCGCGUAGGCGGCUCUUUAAGUCAGAUGUGAAAACCCAGGGCUUAACCUUGGGAGUGCAUUUGAAACUGAAGGGCUCGAGUGCAGGAGAGGUAAGUGGAAUUCCUAGUGUAGCGGUGAAAUGCGUAGAUAUUAGGAGGAACACCAGUGGCGAAGGCGACUUACUGGACUGUAACUGACGCUGAGGCGCGAAAGCGUGGGGAGCAAACAGGAUUAGAUACCCUGGUAGUCCACGCUGUAAACGAUGGAUACUAGGUGUGGGAGGUAUCGACCCCUUCCGUGCCGCAGUAAACGCAAUAAGUAUCCCGCCUGGGAGA